rnacentral:rRNA from 1 species
GACGAACGCUGGCGGCGUGCUUAACACAUGCAAGUCGAACGGAAAGGCCCUGCUUUUGUGGGGUGCUCGAGUGGCGAACGGGUGAGUAACACGUGAGUAACCUGCCCUUGACUUUCGUAUAACUUCAGGAAACUGGGGCUAAUACCGUAUAGGAUCUCCUGCUGCAUGGUGGGCGUUGGAUAGUUUCGGCGGUUGGGGAUGGACUCGCGGCUUAUCAGCUUGUUGGUGGGGUAGUGGCUUACCAAGCCUUUGACGGGUAGGCGGCCUGGGAGGGUGACCGGCGACAAGGGGACUAAGGGAGGCAGCAGACGGGAACGGUGGGCAGCAGGGGGGAGUAUGACACAGUGGGAGCAAGUGGGAGGCAGAGGCGUUCGGGUCGUGAAGACGGUUUGUUGGUUGAAAAAAGCAGCCGCCUGUUACGAAGCGGGAGUGACGGUACCGGGUAAAUAAGCACCGGCUAACUACGUG